UGCAGUCGAACGGUAACAGAACUAGCUUGCUAGUUGCUGACGAGUGGCGGACGGGUGAGUAAUACUUAGGGAUCUGCCUCUGUGUGGGGGAUAACUAUUGGAAACGAUAGCUAAUACCGCAUAACGUCUACGGACCAAAGAGGGCUUCGGCUCUCGCGCAGAGAGGAACCUAAGCGAGAUUAGCUUGUUGGUGAGGUAAAGGCUCACCAAGGCGACGAUCUCUAGCUGUUCUGAGAGGAAGAUCAGCCACACUGGAACUGAGACACGGUCCAGACUCCUACGGGAGGCAGCAGUGGGGAAUAUUGCACAAUGGGGGCAACCCUGAUGCAGCCAUGCCGCGUGUGUGAAGAAGGCCUUCGGGUUGUAAAGCACUUUCAGUUGUGAGGAAAGGUUAGUAGUUAAUACCUGCUAGCUGUGACGUUAACAACAGAAGAAGCACCGGCUAACUCCGUGCCAGCAGCCGCGGUAAUACGGAGGGUGCGAGCGUUAAUCGGAAUUACUGGGCGUAAAGCGCACGCAGGCGGUCUGUUAAGCUAGAUGUGAAAGCCCCGCGCUCAACGUGGG
rnacentral:rRNA from 1 species